GGUUAACGCUGGCGGCGUGCCUAACACAUGCAAGUCGAACGAGGCUUUCUUUCCCGUAAGGGAGAGAUUGUCCUAGUGGCGAACGGGUGAGUAGCACGUGGGCAACCUACCCUUCUGUGGGGGACAACUCCGGGAAACCGGGGCUAAUACCGCAUUCGGUCACCGUUCGCAUGGAUGGUGCAGAAAGCAGCAAUGCGCAGGAGGAUGGGCCCGCGGCCUAUCAGCUAGUUGGUGGGGUAACGGCCUACCAAGGCGAAGACGGGUAGCUGG
rnacentral:rRNA from 1 species